rnacentral:rRNA from 1 species
CAGCAGCCGCGGGAAAACGAAGGGGGCUAGCGUUGCUCGGAAUUACUGGGCGUAAAGGGCGCGUAGGCGGACAUUUAAGUCAGAGGUGAAAGCCCAGGGCUCAACCUUGGAACUGCCUUUGAUACUGGGUGUCUAGAGUGCGGGAGAGGUGUGUGGAACUCCGAGUGUAGAGGUGAAAUUCGUAGAUAUUCGGAAGAACACCAGUGGCGAAGGCGACACACUGGCCCGUAACUGACGCUGAGGCGCGAAAGCGUGGGGAGCAAACAGGAUUAGAUACCCGCGUAGUCCCUGUCUCUUAUAC